AAGUCGUAACAAGGUUUCCGUAGGUGAACCUGCGGAAGGAUCAUUAAUGAAUGAACUUGGGCAAGGUUGUAGCUGGCUUCAGUGAUGGAGCAUGUGCACACUUUGUUCAUUUCCACCUUUUAUACCUCUGUGCACUUCUCAUGGGUCUUUGACUGCGUCUUGAAACAUAUUUCAGACAAAGCCUUUCUCUCAUGUGCUCAAACCACACACUACAAAGUUUUUAGAAUGUUAACAAUCAUGCAUGAAUGCAUAAUAAUAUAACUUUCAGCAACGGAUCUCUUGGCUCUC
rnacentral:misc_RNA from 1 species